CCUUGCCACAUCGUUAUCCUUCUCGAUCAUUCUAAUCGGCGGCUCUUCUUCGACGAGACGAGGCGUGUCCCCCCUCGGGUCCCGCAUUCUUCGGCGCUUCCAACAGAAGAGGACAGAAACCGAACCCAGCGAAGAGGAGCAGCUUCCUCUCCCCCGUCUCCUCCACGGCGUUCGCCGACAGAUCGAGAUCGGUACUAUUGCUUCACUUCAUCUUGCUCCCCCCUUGAUCUGCCCUUCUCUGGCGCGCUGAUCCAGCGGUUUGAAUCUUUCCUGGCCAGAUCAGGUUAUUUGGUUGGACUGCAUUCUUCAAUCUCUUCACCGAUUCAGGAUUUCGCGUUACAUCGCCGUUUCUAGAUCCUUUUCGGUUUAAAAUCGAAUUUAUACUGAGGCAGCCGAUGACGAAUCCACCGGAUGUGACCUCUUGUUUUGCUUCGCAAUUGUUUUAUGAAUCUAAGAAACUGAGGACAUUUGCCAUGGUUGUCCAGGACUUGGAAUUGGCACUGUAACAAUGUGAGGUCAUGGGACAAUUUUUUUUUUUUUUUUUUUUUUUUUUUUGUAACUUAGAAACCACAUACCUAGAAGGAAAAGCAAUAUCCGAUAAGAACUGAGAACAAGAAAAUGCCAUGUUAUGAAUUGAAGCUACAUGUUGGAGCAUUCUGAUUACAUGUUUAUUGAAUUGCAACUAGUAGGCAAACAUUCAUCAAGUUGAAGGUAUAAGGGAUAGAGAGGGACUAAGAAAAUUCUAGCUGAUAAAGUUAGAAAUAGUUUAAGAGAUUUGAAUUUUAUCAAUCAUAUCUUAUACACACUUGGAUAGAGAGAUAAGAUCCAUGUAGUUGAAUCCAAAUAGUUGGGAUUACAUGGUUUGAUGUUGGCAAAAGUUUCAAUACAUUUGCGUAUAUAGUUCCCACAAUAUGUUUUGUAGCUAGUAAACAUGACUUAUUCUGUUUAUGCUAAUCUUUUCUGAUGUACAAACAUUUUUGUGGAGAUGCUAAUUGUCAUUUGGAGAUCUUAAAGUAUGGCAUCUACCAGCAAGGCUGAUGGGAAGGCAGCAUUAGAUGCUGCUCAUAGAUGUUCGAUAUUGUUACAUCUGUUGGGACUAUACGCAAUAUGAUUUUCACUUUCUAUAGUUUCAUUGUUAAAUUAAUGUCCUUUUAAUAGCAGCUCUUUAUAGCUUGCAACAUAACACUUAGAUUUCAAAAUGAUCUCAAGAUUGUGAGUGCAAUGAUCUAUUUUUCUUUAGUAAAAA